rnacentral:misc_RNA from 1 species
GAACAAUGUUCAAAGCUUAAAAAUGACAAUUAUUGUUGGAUACCAUAUUUAAUAAUGUUAGAUAUGAUGAAUAAUUUUUUUUGUAAAAUAUAUUGAUGGUAGGGUUAUAAUGCAAUAUACUUAAUGAAAUAUAUUUUUAUUUUUACUUAUUUCGCUAUGAAAGAAACAUUUAUUGAUGACUUGGGUGAAUAUUAUCAUUAUAUGACAAGUUUUGGCUCCAUAAUUAUUUAUGAAUUUCUAGUCAUAAAGUAAAAAAUACAAUUUAUAUAUGAAGUUAUGGUAAAAUGAUAAUUUUAACUAUUUUCUUUGCAGUCCUCUUCCCAUAUAAAAGGAAAAUAAGCGCUUCUUUUUACUUUCUACACGGAAUAGCCUCCUUGCAAAACAGGUAUAAGGUUGUACAUAUCAACCCUAUCCAAAACUCACAAGUGUGAAUGCUGUGCACAGUGGAUCACCCUUUUUUUUUCUUUUUUUUUU